GAUGAACGCUGGCGGCGUGCCUAAUACAUGCAAGUCGAGCGAACAGACGAGGAGCUUGUUCCUCUGACGUUAGCGGCGGACGGGUGAGUAACACGUGGAUAACCUACCUAUAAGACUGGGAUAACUUCGGGAAACCGGAGCUAAUACCGCAUAAUAUAUUUAACCGCAUGGUUCAAUAGUGAAAGACGGUUUUGCUGUAACUUAUAGAUGGAUCCGCGUCGCAUUAGCUAGUUGGUAAGGUAACGGCUUACCAAGGCAAGGUUGCGUAGCCGACCUGAGAGGGUGAUCGCCCACACUGGAACUGAGACACGGUCCAGACUCCUACGGGAGGCAGCAGUAGGGAAUCUUCCGCAAUGGGCGAAAGCCUGACGGAGCAACGCCGCGUGAGUGAUGAAGGUCUUCGGAUCGUAAAACUCUGUUAUUAGGGAAGAACAAAGGUGGAAGUAACUAUGCACGUCUUGACGGUACCUAAUCAGAAAGCCACGGCUAACUACGUG
rnacentral:rRNA from 1 species